AUACGGAGGGUGCGAGCGUUAAUCGGAAUUACUGGGCGUAAAGCGUACGUAGGCGGUUUGCUAAGUCAGAUGUGAAAGCCCCGGGCUUAACCUGGGAACUGCAUUUGAUACUGGCAGACUAGAGUACGAUAGAGGGGGGUAGAAUUCCUGGUGUAGCGGUGAAAUGCGUAGAUAUCAGGAGGAAUACCAGUGGCGAAGGCGGCCCCCUGGAUCAAUACUGACGCUGAGGUACGAAAGCGUGGGGAGCGAACAGGAUUAGAAACCCUAGUAGUCC
rnacentral:rRNA from 1 species